GUUUGGAACCUAUUAGCAGGAAUGAAGGCAAUAGUUAGAAUAAUGAAAACUUAUAAUUAUCUGGAAGACAGAUACCAACAUCUAGAUUCUAUUAGCUUCUUCUUAUCUCCCACACUCUCCCUUAUUUGCAAGACAUUUAAGCAAAAUUUGAUGCCUAAGAAGUCUUUGACCCAUUGUGCAAUUAAUCUUGUAUUUGCACAUGUAGUUUCAUUUACCUAGAAUAUUCCCCAGACCUUGAUCUGGAUGACACCUAAUGGAUCUUCAAGAUUCAAUUUAAAGGAAGAGGAGGGAAUAUAUAGUUGUUAAAAAUGCAUUUAGGAGCCAGAUUUCCUGUGUGUGGCCUUGUCCUGUGUCAGCUUAGCUAAAUUAGAACUGCAUUUCCCAGCAUUCCCAUCCUUGUAUAUAUGUGAGUUUCACUGUCGUGCAGGAGCUGUGGUAGCUCACCCACACUGCAAUCCAUCUGCUGACUCAACUUGCUAGUAUCGGGCAGCAGCCAGGACCACAGCUCCUCCAGCUCCUUUGUGACCUUUUCCUUCAGCUUCUUCAAAUACUGGGUUAGACACCUGCCUGGAAUAUAGUGAGUGUUAGGAUAAAGUAAACAUAGACCAGAGGAAGAAGUCAAAUACGCAUUUGCCUCAGGUGAGUAGAGGGAUGACUUCUAGUUCUAUAUUUGUCCUGUACCUGUGAAGAUAAGCUGUUGAUUUAUAUUCUCAGGGUGAAAUUCAGUACAACUUCAUUUUACAGUAAGGAUCUUGGGGCCCGCAGGAGAUUUUCUGUGAGAAAAUUGUAAGAGAGGGCCCCUGAGAAGGUAUGUGCCUUCUAUCUUUGCAGUUAUCUAUUUAGGAACAAAAUGGGAAGCAGUUGUGUGUGACGCAGUUCCCAAGCUUAACUUUUCCCUUUGGCAUCGUGAGUUGGGGGUCCUGAGAUUUUAUUUUACUUUCACAACUGGAACAGAUUUUAAAAACUUUAAAAAACAAAAAUAUGUCAGUGUCCAAAAAGUAUUAAUGCAUUACUUUUUCUUAUUUUUGUAUUGUUUAUUUUAUUUUUUAACAUUUUUAUUGACAUGAAUAUAUAGGCCAUUUUCAUUAUUUGUUUGAUUUCAUGACUAUUACCAAAAAAAUUUUGUCAUAUAGAGGAGGGAAGUAUUAAAAAGGGAUCUCUGACAUACACUUGGUAUAGGGUCCUGGUACCAAUUGUGAAAAGUAAACCCUUUCUUAUAAUCCAAAGUCACUUGGCAAAGUUUCUUCAUCUCAGGUGUCCAUUUUCUACUCACAAGGUGGUUAAACAAAAAAAGUAUAGAAAUUGGGAUCUAUCAGCAGACCUGUCCAGUUUCUAACUUGGUAAACUCUAAUUAAAUUACAGUGUUAAGCUUUACUUUUUUUUCAAAAGAAUUAGAGAAAAUGCAACUUAGAACAAUGGGCUUCAAACUAGAAUGUGCCUAUGUCUGAGUGUUCUCCUGCACAGAGAAUUUUAAGGAAAUAAAUGUUUCCAUCCUCUUUUUACAAUGGUUCUUCUCCCAUAUAUAGAAAAGUAUUAACUUGUCACCCAUCACAAAUCUUAACACAGAAUGCAUACUGGUGUGUAACAACCUCAGGGCUCCUAACAUAGGAAUACAAAUUGUAUUUUGCUUCAGGGGAAGACUCCUUUAAAAAUUAAUCAAAGCUCCUAAAAUCUUGUCUUGGCUUGUCAUACACAUAUUUGUAGCUAGAGUGAAGUUCUGCGUUAGACACAGGGUAUUUGGCCCUUGCUUAAGACUGAAUUGACAAAGUCUUAAGUAGAAUAAUGAAAGUUGUUAUUUUAAAUGUAACUAGACUAUUUGUUAAGGCUUCCACAUUUUGGGUUAUUUGAAUAUAAUCCACAGAUAAAAAUUUAAAUGAUUUCUACUGGUGUAUUUUAGUCAAUAAAGCAGUUAAAAUUUCAUGAAAAUAUAUGAAAUGUUUAUUCCUAUUACAGUAAAUCCUUAUCCUAUUUUAUCUCAUAAAUAUAAUGAUAUAUAAUACUUAUGUUUGUGAUAAUAUAAUUUGAUAUAAAAUACAAUAUUUUUCACCUCCUAAAAAUAAUAAAUAAAUAUACUUAGGGUUAUGGCUAAAAAUGUAGACAUAUGCAAGUUAAAUACACAGUUUUUCAAAUUUUUUAUAUAGCACAUUAACUAAAAUAUUUGAAGAUCAUUGGCUCUGAGAACUAGAAAAUAGCUUGAGUACUUUUCCUGAUCUGUCAUUAAUUUGCUGAGCAAUGCUGAGUAUAAUGUUUAAAGUGGGAAUCCAAAUUAUCUUUCUGUAAAAUUAUACUUUGGGAGCUGGAGAUACCUUUCAUGCCUGUAAACUGAUAUUGUCUUAAUUUUUUGUUCCCUAAGGAAGAAUAAUUUUCUUAUAAUUAAGAAUUUUCCUGUUCUAUCAUUAUAGCCUCUAAAAUAUUAAAUCUUCUUUUGUUGGUCUGGAUACUUAUAUCUAACUGAACUAGGAUAUAUUAUCUUUUUUUCAAUGUCAUCUAACACAAAAGCUGUAAUCAUUGAUUUGAGAUUUGAGCUAUGCAAAAUGGAUUAGGUUUCCAUACCCAAAAUUAUAAAAGUACUUAGAUCAUAGGCUAUUAAGUAUUUUUAGACUUCUUUUUCUUUUUAAUUUAGCUGUUUACAGUUACAACUUUCCCUAUAAGCACUGUUUUAGCUGCAUCUCAAAAGUUUGGUAUGUUGUGUCUUCAUUUUCAUUCAUCUCAAAGUAUUUUCUAUUUUUUUUGUGAUUUCUUCUUUGACUUCUUUGUUAUUUAGGUGUGCAUUGUUUAAUAUUUACAUAUUUGUGAAUAUCCCAAAUUAAUUUUGAUUAUUGACCUCUAAUUUUAUUCUAUUGUGAUUGAUAAACAUAUUUGAAUAAUUUAAAAUAUUUUCCACCUACUUUACCUUGUAUAUGGCCUUGUAUAUGGUCCAUUCUAAGAGAAUGUGCCAUGUGCACAUGAGAAGAAUGCAUAUUUUGCUAUUGUUGAGUAGAGUGUUCUAAGGAUGUUUGCAAAGUCUAGUAGGUUUAUAAAGAUGUUUAAGUCUUCUGUGUCUUCUAUUUCCUUGUUUAUUCUCUGUCAAGUUGUUCUAUUGAUUACUAAAAGUGGGGUAUUGAAAAAUCUAACUAUAUAGGUUAACUUAUAUCUCCUGAUAGAUUGAUCAUUUAUUCAACAUAAAAUGACAAUUUUUUAUAUCAGGUAACAUAUAUUACUUUAAAGUCUAUGUUGUCUGAGAUUAGGAUAUCUACUCUAGCUUUCUGAAGGUUGACAUACCUUUUUCCAUUCUUUUACUUUUAACCCAUUUGCAUCUUCAAAUCUAAAUUGUGUCUCCUGCACACAACAUAUAGCUGGAUCUUUCUAAAAAAAUCCAUUCUGAUAACCUUUGCCUUUCAAUUGGAUUGUCUAAUCCAUUCUAAUUUAAUUUCAUUAGUAAUAUAGUUAGAUUUGCAUCUGCCGUUUUACUUUUUGUUUUCUCUAUGUCUUAUGCCUUUUGUCCUAAGUAUACCUUGGCUUGUGGCAAAACCUUAUCAAUUUCUGCUUCUAUUUCACAUGAAUUUUCCCUGCUGUAUCUCUGUGUGUUCUCUCUUCUCCUUAUAAGAACUUCAGUCAUUGGAUUUAGGGCUCAUCCUAGUGCAGUAUAACCUCAACUUAUGUAAUUAUAUUUGUAAUGACCCAAUUUUAAAAUAUGAUCAUUCUGAGGUUCCAGUAGACUUGAAUUUGAGGAGAUACUAUUUAAAUGUUUCUUUUUUAAAAGAAAAGUUUGCCUUUUAAGAUAAAUAUUUUUUCACCAGUUAUGGUUGGUUUUGAAGGGGAUAGAGUUUAUGGACUUCCUCACUUUGCCAUUCUGGAAGUAAUAUCUACAUUUUAUUUCAGUCAAGGAUAACUGCAACCAAUCUCUGUUUUUGUUAGAACACAUGCUACUUAAAACAGUAUGAAGCAAUAGUAUUGAAAAUCAUUUUUUGGGGGGAAAGGAUUGAUUUGUUUCGACUGUUAGGACCCUUGAUACAUAUCUUGAGUUCUUGAAAUAUUGACAAUCAUACAAACGGGCUAUAACAUCUAUUAUAUAUUGAACACCUGUUCUAGAAGUCCCCCAGGAAUGAAACACAAUGGAGUACUUAUUACCUUAUCUAAUGUAACAACAAAUAUGUGAAGUAGAUGAUAUUAUCUCAUUUUAUAAAUAUGAAAAUUAACACUAAGAAGGCUGAGUGACUUCCCUAAUAGCUAAGUGGUGAGUCUUAAGAAGCCCUCCCUUCCUCAGCAAAAAUCCUAUGUAUGGUAUUUCAUGCUUCACCACAGGCAAUUACAAAGCAUUGUCUGGAAGCCUAGUGGUGGAAAGUUGUCCUCCUCUUAGCAGAUUUGGUGUACAGUCAAUGGACUGCAGGUUUCUGGAAUGAGUUGCAGUCAAGGACUCAAGACACUGGCAGUAGAGCAUUGAAUCAAGUGUAACCCUUUUCUAAGCUCAGGGCUCUUUGCAGCCGCACUGAUCACAGACCCGUGGAGCUGGCCUUGCCUCUACUACAUUAAGUAGCUCAUCAUAUGUACACCAGAACAUUUUAUAUCGUUAUGUGUUUGCAAAGUAGUUCCCUCUUCCAUUUCUUCUUCAUCUCCACUUAGAAAGCUGUAAUCAUCUUUUAAUACCCAGAUUUCCAUAACACCCAAGAUGGAGACUAUUAAUCUGUUCUGUGGGAUUUCAGAGCCCUUGCACAUUGUUUUAUUUUGUUGUGCAAUUACCAUAUUGCACUAUGAUUGUUGAUGUUUCUCUUUUCUGCUAAUUAAUGAACUUCUAAUAUGCAGGGAUCAAGACUUUACAUCUGGCUGGGCACAGUGGCUCACAUCUAUAAUUUCAGCACUUUGGGAGGCUGAGGCAGGUGGAUCGCUUCAGCCUAGGAGUUUGAGAAUAGUCUGGGCAAUGUAGUGAAACCCCCAUCUCUUUUACAUCUAUUUAAUGAUAGGAUUUGGGAUGUUACCUAGAAUAUGAUUGUGGAAGGAAGGAAGAAAAGAUGGAAAAUAAGUGAAAGAAGAAAUUAAUGAAUUCUUUGCUCCCUUAAAUUUGUGCUUUUGAGUGCAAUUUAAGUGCAAUUUAAUUCAGUGGUUUUACAUAUGAUAAGUUCCACAUGAGAAAACUCUUUGUCAGUCAUCCAAGAAAGAUUAUACUAGCAAAUUUAUAGGAACUAAUUAUUUUUAAAAAAGUAAUUUUUACCUGUUC